rnacentral:rRNA from 1 species
CGUUCUGUAAGCCUGCGAAGGUGUGCUGUGAGGCAUGCUGGAGGUAUCAGAAGUGCGAAUGCUGACAUAAGUAACGAUAAAGCGGGUGAAAAGCCCGCUCGCCGGAAGACCAAGGGUUCCUGUCCAACGUUAAUCGGGGCAGGGUGAGUCGACCCCUAAGGCGAGGCCGAAAGGCGUAGUCGAUGGGAAACAGGUUAAUAUUCCUGUACUUGGUGUUACUGCGAAGGGGGGACGGAGAAGGCUAUGUUGGCCGGGCGACGGUUGUCCCGGUUUAAGCGUGUAGGCUGGUUUUCCAGGCAAAUCCGGAAAAUCAAGGCUGAGGCGUGAUGACGAGGCACUACGGUGCUGAAGCAACAAAUGCCCUGCUUCCAGGAAAAGCCUCUAAGCAUCAGGUAACAUCAAAUCGUACCCCAAACCGACACAGGUGGUCAGGUAGAGAAUACCAAGGCGCUUGAGAGAACUCGGGUGAAGGAACUAGGCAAAAUGGUGCCGUAACUUCGGGAGAAGGCACGCUGAUAUGUAGGUGAAGCGACUUGCUCGUGGAGCUGAAAUCAGUCGAAGAUACCAGCUGGCUGCAACUGUUUAUUAAAAACACAGCACUGUGCAAACACGAAAGUGGACGUAUACGGUGUGACGCCUGCCCGGUGC